GAUGAACGCUGGCGGCGUGCCUAAUACAUGCAAGUCGAGCGAACAGACGCUGUGCUUUCUCCUCUGUCUUUAGCGGCUGACGUGUGAGUAACACGUGUAUAACCUCCCUCUCCCUCUUGGAUCACUUCCGGAACCCGGUUCUAAUACCGCAUAAUAUUUUGAACCUCUUUGUUCAUUAGUGUAAGACGGUUUUUCUUUCACUUAUAUAUGUUUCCGCGCCGCAUUAUCUAGUUGGUAAGGUAACGGCUUACCAAGGCAACGAUGCGUAGCCGACCUGAGAGGGGGAUGGGCCACACGGGAACGGAGAAACGGACAAGAAGCCUACGGGAGGAAGCAGUAGGGAAGAUUACGCAAUGGGCGAAAGAAGGACGGAGCAACGACGCGUGAGGGAUGAAGGAGGACGGAGCGUAAAAAACUGUUAUUAGGGAAGAACAAAUGUGGAAGUAACUAUGCACGGAUUGACGGUAACUAAAAAGAAAGCGACGGCUAACUACGUG
rnacentral:rRNA from 1 species